rnacentral:snoRNA from 1 species
UCAGUGGGACAGGCAGCUAUGUAGUAAGAAUUGUAGGGUUAGGAGCUGGAAAGAGGAGCCUGCCUGUCCAAGUGCCACAGAAAACCUAUGGCUCUGCCCCUGGGGGUUGGGUCCCUUUUUACAUGUUGAAGGAGCUGGGUUUUGUGUCUGCACCUGCAUAUUCCUACAGCUUAUUUGGGCAACAACUAAGGAGAUGAACCAUGCAGGAAAUAUAU